UUUUUUUUUUUUUUGUACAAGUUUUUCCUGUAUUAGCUAUAAGUGGAAGUUCCAUUCGUCAUGAGCUUUUGAGAAGGUAUUUUUAUGUAAUGAGGAGGUUUGUGGUCAAGGGAGCUAUCUCACUAGUAUAAAUGUCCUCCAUAAUCGUAAUUCUUAGUUGGAGUUUUGGAGAGAGAACUGAAUAAAUUAAACGAAUGUGCAGUUUGCAUGUUUUGGGACUUUCAUGCCAUUGUUACUUGAUGAAUAUUUAUUUUCUCUCAGAUGGAAAAUUUUAGGAGAUACUGAUAAGCUUUUAGAAUGUAUUCUUGUUGUGUUGUAAGUAAUUAAAUCCUAUCAAUUUGGAUUGAGGCAUAAUUGAUUGUUUGAAUGAAUGAAGGAUGACCUUUUCUUGUCAAAGCUAAUUAUGUUGCAGCAGUCAGUUUCUUAAUAGGUUUUUGUUUCAUGUAGGAACGGGGUAUCUCACAGCAUGUUUUGCUCUGAUGGUUGGACCACAAGGUCGAGUUGUUGGUGUGGAACAUAUACCAGAGUUGGUUGCGUGGUCAAUCAAGAAUGUUGAAAAGAGUGCAGCAGCUCCUUUAUUAAAAGAAGGUUCCCUCUCUUUGCAUGUUGGUGGUAUGGUUUUAUAGCAUUUUCAUAUAGUUUAUUCAGGAGACGCUUGCCGUAGCAAAGUAGUGUUCAUAGAUGGUUGGCUAAUAUUACUCUCUCCGUUUCACAAAGAAUGACCUAGUUUGACUUGGCACGGAGUUCAAGAAAAUAAAGAAGACUUUUGAAUCAUGUGGUUUUAAAUUAAAGUUAUGUCAAAUGUACAAAAUUGUUCUUUAAUCUUGUGGCCUUAAACAUGUCACGUGGAAAGCUGAAAUUAAAAUGUUACCAAAAAAAGAAAUAGGUCAUUCUUUUUUAAACAAACUAAAAAGGAAAGGAGGUCAUUCUUUUUGAAACGGAGGGAGUAUUUCUUUUUCCAGUCUGACAUGCUCCCACCAUGAGACUUUUCUUGAGGCUGUUGACAAACGAGUGUUUUUGGUAACUUGUGCAUCAUUGCAGAUGGGAGGAAGGGUUGGCCAGAGCACGCACCUUAUGAUGCUAUUCACGUUGGAGCAGCUGCAGCUGAUGUUCCACAGGAUCUCAUUGACCAGUUAAAGCCCGGGGGAAGGAUGGUGAUUCCAGUGGGUACUUUUUUUCAAGACCUCAAGGUUAUAGACAAAAAAAUGGAUGGUUCAAUAAGUGUUCGAAGUGAGACUUCUGUCCGUUAUGUUCCACUGACUAGUCGAGAAGCGCAGAUAAAGGGCACUGACUAGUUGAGAAAGCACAGAUAAAGGGCACAUAAAGCUGGUUGUUUCUGGCGAUGGUAAUCUUGGUCCCCCACUUGUGUGGCAGUCCAGUUUGAUAUUUUGUACAGUUUCACACCUCUUUGCCUGUAAAGAAUGAACGAUCUGAAUGGUUCUGUAUUUAAUUCCAUGCAAAUUAUCUCCUGUAGAACCUACCUCUCUCUUCCUUGUGCUCUCUUGGCUUGUCGGUAAUAUAUUUCUUGUCUAGCAAAAGGAAUCGGUUGGUUACAUGUGUUACUGGAGAUAAUACUGAUAUUGAAUUUAAUUACGAAAGCAACAUUGGAUUGCUAUAUCUAAUAGCAGCAUUGAUGGAUUAGAUCGGUAAACACUAACACACGACCACAGAGAGAGCUUUUCGCCUUUGCUUACCUGCUUAACCGUACACUCCUAUAGUACAGUACCUAUAUAUAUAUAUAGCGUAUCCUGUUACCUGCACCAAGUGUUGACAACAAAGUGAUGCUCCUUCAAGUAGUUAAGUGAUAUAAUGUUGUGAAUAUACACAUGGUAUGCAUCUUUGGAUUAAUGUGAAGGUGGAGAUCCUGAAUCAGAACACCAGUAAAACAAUUUACAAUGCUUUCUAUUUUGCAUAUGAUGUCAUACCAAAUCUCUUGAUCAUAGUGAAGCUUCCUAUCCAUUCUGAAUAAGUUCUAGCAACAUGAAGGUGUAAAAGCUAACGGCAAAUGAGUACCAAAUAGAAUUCAAAAUCUUACAGCAUUCAAUCCUCUACUUCAGAGUUUCCAAAGGGCAAGAGCGGAAGAAAAAACACAAAAAAAAAGUUGCUGUGCCCUAUAUAAGUAAUCAACGAAUAAAAACUUACAAGUAGAGAGCUAAAUUAAAGACGUUUGAUGAAAAUCUAACUGCUCAUAGCUGCAGAACUGUCACUGCUAAGCCAAUCGAACAAAUAAAACAUAUGAUCAAAAUCAAAACGUGUUGCGCCUAGGUCUUUCUUCAGCAGCAUUUACCCUAAUCGUCCUCCCAUCCAAAGUCUGAAAUACAACAACGAAGAGAAACUAUUAGCUUCAACAUCAAAUAUCUCGAAAGAAAAUAUAUGCCUAACAUGAAUCUGUCAAUGAGGUCAAUGAUCAACCAAGUAACUAAGUGUUCAACAUCUGUAUUAAGCAGACAAUACAAAGAGAGGUCAUUUCUUCCGUGAACAAGUCACAUCAGGAAUCAUAAUACUUGAAUUAUAAUGAACUUGAUAAUCAUCAUCAUAUAUUUGCAUUUCUUGUCGGAUUAGUUAAUCAUAUCAAAAUUUGAAUAUACCAACCCAGUUGUCGUCACUAUGAAACAGAUCCACAAUCUCUUAUCUAAUGAAUAUGUAACUAAUAUAUAAUAUUACUUUGUCUAGCUUUCAUUGCUAAGACUUUCAUCGCUAAGGUGAUUGGUGUGCUAAGGCAAGCAACUUCUCUUUCCAAAGAAGAAUGCCAAGUAAAGUUCGGCUUUAUCUUGAAGCAAAACCCACCAGGUUAGCUAUUACAAGAAUUAUUAGAAACUAAUAUGAGAUGACAAGAAGUAGCUUAACUAAGCAAGUAGUACUAUAGCAACCAUUUUAUGCUCUUACAUAUGUUCCACUAACAAAUAAACUAGUGUGAUCCCAUAAAUGGGGUUUGGGGAAGAUGGAGGCAUACACAGUUUGCAUAAAUAGUGUGGGAAGUACAAACUAACUAAUGUGGGUUUGCGUUACUGAUACCAAAAAUGACAACCAAACACUCGACACUAAUGCAAAAUCGGUACAGUACUACAGUUUAUUUCAAGUGAUGCAAUAAACAAAUGAUACCGGAGUGUACUAAUCUCAUUUGUUAGACUCUUACACAUCUUAAUUUUCUUCUUCUUUUUUGUUUUCUUUUUGCUGGGGGUGGGAUAAUAGUGAAUCUAGACAUCGUUGGUACUUCAAGAUGACACCGGCAACCAAUUUUAACUUGGCCUCUAGCCACAGAAUACGAUAUCUAUAAGAUACCAAUUUACAAACACAGGUUUUAUAAACUAUAUUCCCAUAUUUGAAAAGUUGCAUGUAUAGCUUGUCUACUCCUGCACAACGCCAAUUAUAUAAAAUAAGUGCAGAAAGACUGCAUGCCAUUACAAAUAAAUUAAAGAGUUAGAAAUCUAUAAAGCGUAAAAUUUGGUUCCAUCACCAGUAUAGAAGCACAUGUUGGUAAUUCUCUUGCUCUCUUAUAAGAUUCAGAAUAUAGGGAUAUCAGAAUCAGGAUAGAUAUCUAGUAAAUUAGAGAGGAUCCUGAUGUUAGUUAAACAUCUAGAUCGCAGGCACUUUGCAAUUUAUCAUAGAAAACUAAUCAAAAUUCUUAAGAAAAAAGUUGAUCUAUCAUUAAAAAUCUAGAAAAGAGAUCUAACUUUUUUCUUUUUUCAUAGUAAUGGUUAGAAGGUGUCGAAGCAUUUAGAAUCAAACUCAUGGAUGGACUAAAGGACUCAUGCAAUGAUCAAUUCCUAUCAUGCAUGUGUGUGAGUGUCAUAAUGUGUGUGCACAUCACCUGUCCAUCAAGGUUGGCUAUUGCUUCACUCAUCUCAGCUUCACUUGACAUCGUCACAAAACCAAAGCCUCGUGAUCUUCCAGACUCUCUGUCAUAAACCACCCGGGCACUUAUUACUUUACCAUGUUCACUGAAGACUUGCUCAAGGCGUGCAUCAUCAAUGUCCCAUGGGAUGUUGCCAACAUAGAUUCUGUAAGUAGGCUGAAAUGUUCGAGGUGGACGUUCUGGCUGUGAUCCUCUUCGAGCAGCUUUGUUGACCGUCAAGAGCCUUCCAUUGAUAUCCUAGCCAAAUAAAAUAGAUAAUUAGGAAGAGUUUCAGUAAUAUGCCAACGUAUCCACAUGUCACAUCAUAACUAAGAAAUAUCAGAAUUGUGUGACAGGCCUUUUCUAAAGGGACAGCUCAAGGGCAUAGCACAUGGAAAACAUCAGAUUCUAUUAUUCACAUUCACUCUUAAGUGACCAGCACAUUCAGUCAAACACACAUACAAAAUAGUUAGUUGGUAAAAGGACAAACCAGCCUUUCCCUCUCUACUUCCUCUCUUGCUCAUGCUCAUCCAUGGAGGGGUGAUAAUAGUGCAGAAGACACUCCUACUCUCUUGCUUCAGAGCUACUAUGGAAGCCCUUUACCUUCUCCCAAGUUUCCAGAGGGAACAGCCUCUUGAUUGGGACAAGUUAUUAAUAAAUCAACUAUGCCUACCCAACUUAGUUGGUGCAACAAUAUGAAUCGUUUUUUUCAAACUGUAUGAAUCUUCUAUAAUCAUUACUAGGGAUAGAUUGCCAAUCAAGAGUGAAUAUUCUCUACACAUGCUAUCAACAUAAGAAGCAAACCAGGAGAGUGGAAGGAAGCAUUUCAGCCAACAAGCUCAGCUUCCUUCCUUCAGUAGUGAGCUCAGAAUGCUUUUACUUCUGUCAUGUAUAAGGUAACUAUCAUAAAGAAAUUUUUUACUUGUGGAGAUAAUGUUAUAAAAUCACAUGCAACAAUUUUUCACAACCUUAAUGGAUGGAUAUCAAAAUCAUCCUUCCUUUCAAAAAACUCACCUUCACCUGCAAAUACUUGUUUCAUGAACCUUUAACUCUAGAUAUUUAAGUUCCAUUGAAAUUUUUUUUUGAUAAAGAAGUUCCAUUGAAAUUUUAUAAGCAAGUUGAUAAAGAAAAAGAGAAUUUCUCACAUUGUACAUGAUAUUAGAGAAUCAAAACAACUUAGAGGCAAAAGGACUCUUGAGCCUCAAUUGAACCUACAAAUAUAGAGUUAACCUACAUUGUUUCUUAGUAGAAAUAAUGUAGCCAAAAAUGGGGAGGGGUUCUGAUUUGCAGCAACAAAAAGAAUAAACGUCUCAUAUCUAAUAGAAAGCAUCUUCAAGUUCAACUUUUGACAGCAAAAUCCAAGAAUUCAACAUAAAAAGAAUAAACCAUAAUGACAAAUUCAUCAAAGAAACAGAACCAUUGUAACUCACAUAACGGUUGUACAGUACUACAGCUUUCUCAGCUUCUUCCACAGUGCUCAUCGUCACAAACCCGAAUCCACGACUCCUAUCAGUCUCCCUAUUGUAAAUGACCUGCAAAACCAAAAUUAAGUACAACGCGAUACCUGAAUCUCUAUUUUUUCACUAUUUUGAAAAAAAAGGUUCAAACUUGUCAUUGAAAUUAGGGCAUUGUUACCUCAGCAAUCUCAACAACACCAGCCUGUUGAAAAAGUUGAGCCAACCCCUCACUAUCUAUAUCAUAGGGUAAAUUCCCAACAAACAAUUUCGCAUCUUCCGGAGGUUCUUCGUACUCCUCCGCCUCGGCCUCAGCCUCAUCACUCUCCCCUGCAUCACCAACACUUGCAAAAUCAAAGCUAAGCGAUUCCCCACCUUGUUCUUUAUCUUCAAGGCCAACACUGCUGUCAUCAUCUUGCUGAGCAGCCACUACAGAAACAAUAGAUGGGAAUUGGGUAGUUGUCUUUUUAAGAGAUAAAAAAGAAGAUGAAGAGGAGAAUGAGGAAGAAAGGGAGAUGGGUUUUAAUGGGGUUGAGAUAAAAGACAUGGAUUUGGUGGUAGUGAAGAAGGGUGGAAGAGUAAGGCAAGAAUUGGUCGCCAUGGAUAAAUUCUUGAUUAAGGGUUUGGUAAGAGAAGACAUUAUCUUUAGGGUAGAGUGAAAGGAAGAAGAUAAGGUGGGAGUAGAGAGAGCAGAGGUUUUGAAGCCGGCGGAUGGUCCUAGUUCCUUUGAGAUUUUCCCCCUCAGGCCCCCAAAUAUGUAGCCAACACUCCUUUCUUUACUACAUUACUACUCUAUUAUCUUAGGAUUUUAAAUAUCACAUUUUUUUUUAUAAAAAAAAUAAUUCAAGAUAGACAUUGUUUUGUAAUUUCAAAUUUCACAAGUUCUUUUGUAAAAUUUGAAAUUUAAAAGCAAUGUUUAAUUUUUUCUAUGACAAGUCAAAAGGGAUAGUAAACACUAUUUCUACCCCUUUCUCUCCUAGUAAUGACCUAUAUGAACUAUGUUUGAAAAGGUAAAAGUUGAAACUAACACAAGAUUAGGGCACUCACAAGAUGUUCCUAUAUCAAAAAUAGAUAUUUCAUGCUAUUUGUCAAUUUUAGCAAAUUAAAAGAGUUGAUAAUUUUUAAUAAUUGGAGACUAUAAUAAUAAUACUUACAUAUAUGAAAAUUUAGAUGCGUUCAACUGUCUAUUAAUCUUAUAUCCUAAUUCUAGAUUUUUAUGCUCCUUUCCCAUGGGAUCAUGAUUAGAGGUGUCAUGACAUGUCUAAUCACUUUUUUCUAAUACUUUUUGGCCCAUAUUUUCCUCUCCUUAUCCCCAUCAUAGCCAACUCUCACAAGUCACACCUCAUUAUGAGGCAUAUGCGUUGCUUCCUCACAUGCUCAAACCAUCUUAGCCUCAAUUCCUUCAUCUUAUCCAUAAUGAAGGCUACAUCCCAUAGUCACAAAUGUCUUUGUUUCUAACUUUAUCUCUAUUGGUAUACUCACACAUCCAUCUCAACAUCAUCAUCUCUUUACCUCUGUGUCAUACAAUAUAUAUAGUUGGUUGAGGAACAACUUUAUAGAACUUACCUUUUAAGUCUAAGUGACACAUUCUUAUCACACGAGACACCAAAUGCAAGCCUCCAUUUCAUCCAUCUUGCUCCAAUGCACUGUGUAAUAUAUAUGAUCAACCACUCCUCCCUUCCUUCUUCUUCCUUCAUUGCUUUCCUUCUUCACUCCUUCUCUCUUUCUUCUUUCAUGUUCAACCAUUAAAGUUGUUUCAAAGCUCAAUUUUAAAAUUCGAUAUGCCGCAAACGUGAAUCAUUUGGAGUGAAUAAUAUAUCAAAAGACUUGAAACAUAUGAGCUCAUAUCUAAAAUUGGGAUUGUUAAAGAAAAUUUUAAGUUGAUCAAGAUUAAAAGACUGCAUUGGCUAUUAAAGUUUCUUCAAAGCUCAUUUAAAAUUUGACGUGCCACAAACGUGAAUUGUUUUGAGUGAAUCAUAUACAAAAAGACUUGAAACAUCGAGAGAAAUUCAUAUCUAAAAUUUGGGACUGUUUAGAAGAGAUUUGAGUUGGUCGGAACUGAUUUUUUUUUUAUAAACAUGUAUGGAUGUCUACACAUCUCUAAUACAUAAUUAUACAUCAUAUACACAGUUAUAUACACUAUUUAUAUAAUAUUGAUACAUUUAUAUACAUACGGCUAAUUUUGUUUAAUUUUUUUUUUAUUGCCUGUACAGUUAGUACGAAGUCUGUUUUCAUGGUCAUAUCAUAUAUGUUCAUGUACAAGAUUAGCGAGUAGUAAUCUUUAUCCACUUUUGAGAAGUAAAUUUUGAGGUUAUAAUCUAAAGUAAACAUUAUUUCAAACUAGAGUUAUAGUUGAAGGUGAGAAGAGCUUAGAUUUAAGUUCUUUCUUACUUUAAGUUCGAGUUCACUUAAAAGGGAUUGAUAACAAUCAAGUGGUUGUUUGGGUAAAGGAAUUAAGGUUAAUCUCUUAGGUUGAAUAGUUGUAUGCAUUUGGCUCUUUUUUAGACCCUUCUUCCUCCUUGCGAUGCGAAGACAAUGUCAGGGAGGGUGAGAGAAGGGGAUCUUAUAGUAGAGUUGAAUUGAAUUGAAUUUAUUCUUACAAUAACUAGGUAGAAACUAGAGGUGUCAGAUGAACAUAACUGCACAAAAGUCUCAGUUUUUUUCCUUCGAAAAAUGAAAUAAAAAGAGAAGGUACAAUAAAGAGAAUACAUAAUCUGAUGUCCACUUCAAAGAGGCUUAAUAGACAACAGCAAUUUCCCUAGCAUCACAAUCACCUUCAAGAUGAAUAAUUAGCAGUCCAUCUUCAGUGUUAUAGUUGAAUUUUGUUUCCUCACCCUUCACUGUACAGGAGCUUGGUUUAGAGCUAGAAUAGGCUCCAAAUCGGCCACAGCCUCGUGUUUUAAUUUGUAUCUUGCAUCCUGAUGGAAGCUGGCUGCAAAGAAGACCCUCUAUAGCUCCACCAGAGUUGUACAUGUCAAUCAAUCCAAUAGGAGCAAAAUGAUGACUAUUAUAAACCUGUACAUGUGACAUUUCAUUUGAUAUUAAAGAGCUUCCCUUAGCAGAGAAUGUUCCAAAACCUCAAAUAUAUUGCAGACAGUUGACAUACCUUCACUGGAGAGAUGGUAAAUACUUCGCAUUCAAGUGUACUUAAUGAGACUUGGAUUUUCCCUUCUUUUGGCAAUCUAGAAAGAGAACCUAACAACACAACGAGAUAAGCUAAAUGGUCAGUUACAGAAUUUUCGCUUUUCAAAACAGAUUAAAUUUUGUAGGGACGCAAAAGCUGUUAUACUUAAGUUAUCAUAAGACUACCUGAGUUAAAUGCAUAGAUGGCACAAUCCCCAGUCCAAUCAUCACCAGCAAUAUCCCCAAUAUAGUCAAUGUCAAGAGGGCUGAUAUGGCCAGUGAUGGUUAGAGGCUUCGAAGUCGAGGCAAGGAUGUUCUCAGAUCCUUCCUUCAGUGGCCAAUUUCCAGCUCCUUGACAAUUAAAAGCACCAAUUACACCGGAUAACUUAUUUAAAUUCCAAAUUUUCAAGAAGCUGCAGCAGGUCAAGGUUAAUAGUGUCAUUAGACAUUGCAGUUUCAAUAUUUCAGCUGUAGGAGCUCCCUCUCUCCGAAGCCACUAAGAAGUCCCUGUGACCUUCUAGUGUGUGCGGGAAACAUCCCUUAGAAAUGAGUACUGAUAAAACUACGGAAAUGCAUCUUACUUUUUCCCAUCCAUGACGGGGUCUAUAAAUAAGCAGUCUCGCGUUGGCCGCCCAGAACAUCUAGCUCUUAGGAUUGAGCCAUCAGGCAAAACUAGCUUCUUAAGUAGUUCAAAAUCAUGGUGAUCCGGCUCAUCACUGAAGAGAUUGUCACAACAUAUCAACUUGCAAUAAGAUCUCUUUUAAAUAGUAAUGCAGAAGUUCUGGUCAUAGAACAGAAUGUUGUACUGCAUAGUGUAAUAGGACCUCUCACCUAACAUACACUGUAGACCCACUUAAUGCUCUUGCAGCACCGUGGAAUUUAGCUGUGAAGUGCUUGCUCUACAUAAACAGAACAGUUAGUUCUUCUAAGCUCAAGCCUUUUGUUUUGUGAUCAAAUGAGUACGCUUUCUAAGCUAAAGUUUUUUUCUAUGAUCAAACACGGAAGCAAUAAGAUCUGAUCAAAGCAACCUAGUCAUCAGCAAUGCUAAAGCAUAAAUUGUUUCCACAUUUUAUAGACAAAAGUUGAAGUCAUUUAGCAGCAUGACUGUACUCAACCAAAGAUAGUAUACGCCAAACCAUCGUCACUUUUCACUCACAUUCUACUGAUGAUACCAUACCUGGAACAUGUCCCAAUCUGGAACCACAAUCUCCCCCAUAAGAAGACUGUUAAAUGCAACAGAAGCAAUAUGUAGUGUUUGACAAGUAGGAUCCCUGGGCAUGAAAUCCUCCGACGCUCUUGCAACUGCACUCCUCUUUGAGCUGACAGUUCACUUCUCAAUCAGAAACUAUUAUCAAUACAAUAACUUCAUCCAUACCUUGCAUAGCAAUUUCAACCGAAGAUUACUCACCUGUAGAAGGAGUCAGAGUUGUGAUUCAUACAGCAAAUUAGGUUGUUUGCUCCAAAGUUUCUCGCAAUAGAUUCCUCAAGAGCUUCUUGGUAUCGCCCAGUAAGUGCAACACGACCCCCAUGUCCAAACCCUAAGGUUUCUAAAAGAGUCUGCACAUCUACUUUUACUCCAUCUACACCACAGCUUGCAAGAUAACUAUGAAGAUCAUUGUAAAAAUCAAAAAUCCUCUGGGGAUCGAUUACACCAACUCCAAAUUUUUCCAAGCUGUCCAUAGCUAUAUCUCGAAGAUUUCCUGUGUUACCAGGUGAUUGAAUUGGAUACUCAAUCUUUGGGUUGUAUUUCCUCAUAGUUUCAGAUGACGGAUGCAGCCCUCCCCAGUAACCAAGCAAAGCAUGCCAGACAUAUACAAAUCUACAUAAAGGAAAGUGCUUCAAAAUUGCAAACUGUAUGAAUUUACAGAGUUUCCCCAGUUUCCAUCAAGAAGAACAAUAAACACUUGCUGGACCCUAGACUCACUUUAAUCCAUAACUUUCUUUUAUGAAAUUUGUGAACUCCUGGAGGUCAUAGCAUGGAAUGUCCUGUUUCAAUGCCCUAAAUUUACCAUUCUCCUUGAUGUCAGUUAAUCUAGAUGCAAACCUGUGACCACAUUGACAAAAAAGGGAGCUUAAAAAUUGAAUAAAUAGCAAUCAUAUUACGACAAAAAAAAACUAUCUGAUAUAUAGGAGAACAUACUGUGAUCCUUCAACAAAUGGUUCUCCUUCCUUUUGGAAAUCGUUAUACGUCUCUUGCCAGCCAUCAUCAAUAAUCAAAAAUCUCGGUGGACAGCCUCCUUCCAUAAACCUGAGUGGAGAAGAGAACGAUGGUAUGUAAAAGAAGGGGCAGACACAGGAAACAACAUCUGAUUCAUUCACAAAUUUGACUUCAAUAUUGUACCUUUCAAGACCUUCUUUAAUCCCCUGUGGAUUGACAUCCAUGUAGAAAGCAUCCCACGUACACCAUCCAAACCAAUCUAAAUGUCCUGGCACCUGAGAAGAAUAGCACGUCAUCCCUGCAAAAGAGCUACUGGCCUAUUGCAACUAUCACAGCAAAUGGUCAUCUAUAACUCCAGUACCUUUUUGUUAUCAAUAUGCUUAAAUGUUCCCAUAUGAUUCUCAAGUAUCCUGCAAAAUAAUAUAAAAUAGAAGAUAUUCUACUAUAGCUUCAAGCUACUAUUGACUUGUAAGAGGCAAUCAUCAGUCUUUCUGAAUAUGACCUACUUGAUAGAAUCCUUUAUCAGCUUAAAUGGGUUGUCUCCUGAAUUCAUGAAAACUACCUCAGACACAUUGGUGGUUUGCACAUUUGCAUCGCCUAAAACAAAAGUAGUUAUUUGAUCAAUAAUUCAUAUUAUAUCACGAGGACAUAUGAAAAAGGUUGGCUCAGUUUACCACUUUCAACGCAUAUCUGAAGCUCAUUUGAACGUGCCCCUUGCAAUGUAGCUCUAAAUGAUCCUUCUAAGACAGGCAAUAGCAAAACAUAGAAGGUUCUGUCAGUAGAUAAAGGCAAAGAAUCUCCGUGGCAGAGUGCACUCUUUUCCUUCACUUCCAAGAGAAGCAUUUGCGUUUCCAUUGGGAUUUCACAGGCUAAUUUCCCUACACGUGGUAUCAUCCACCAAAUUUUAUGUCUGAAGAGACACAAGAACUGGAAUUCCCUGCAAUUUCCACAAAGGAAAAUAUCAGGACCCUACUGACACCUAUGAGACUAGCCAAACAUGAACUUAACCAAUGAGAUAGCACUCUCAAAAGUCAAUAGUGAGAUAUUUAUUAAGCACCAUCCUUAUUUUAAUUGGAGUUUCUCAAUCAAGUAGAAACAUAUUCUAGAUUCAAGACAAAGAUGAACUUUGCACCUGGAAUCAACCAUAAUUCAAAACCUGCCUCGGCUUAAAUUUUCUUCCACUAGAAAAUAGGAAGGGAAUUGGCGUAAACAAAGCAGAGGACUUACUGAAGAACCCCAAGAGAAAAGACGUGUCUAGAGCUGGGUAUGGAUGAAGUUGCACCAAAGAAGAAAGCAGCCGAAGAUUCCACCGGAGAAACUUGGACGUUAAAGGGGACUCCGGUCAACAGAGUCUUACCGUUUACCAACAGCGAACCAUCCUGGAUGCAUGUACUCGCUGCUGCCAUCAUUUUAGUGUGUUCCCUCCAAUGCUCCUCUAUGUUAAUGGAUUGAGUUUCGAGAAUUUUGGCAAAAAAUUAGGAACUAAAAAUAACCUUUUGAUAUUCCGACGGAAAUAUUGCGAAAAUCGAGGCUGGGUUUAUAAGUCAUUGCCGACGAAAAUUUUUAUUAUGUAUAGGACAUAUAUAUGACAUGGCUGACAAAAUUUGUAUGAGGCUCCACUUAUACUUUGCCAAGUGGAUAGUUGAAUUCAAUUUCAGAAAAUAGCCCAAACUAUUCUCUCUCUCUCUUCCCUUAUAAAGUUUUUCCCCUCUCUCUUACUUUUUACUUUUUUUUUCUUUGGUUUCUUUUCCAAUCAUUGUUCUAAAUUUUGCACUACUAUUCUUUAGUAAAUUUUUCAUUCUGCUUCUAACAUUAUGAUAUUAUUUUUCAAUUUUGAUAUUAAUAAUUUAAAUUGCUAAAAAUAGUUAUAUAAAAUUAUUUGUUAAUUUACGAAUUAAGAUAUAAUUAAUUAUAAUUUUUAAUUUUAUUAUAAUAAUUAAUUCUUUUUGAAAGUGUAAAUAAAAUUUAUAAAGUUAAAAAAAAUAAAGGUGCAAAUUAGUAAAACUAAUAUUUUAUUUAUAAUUUCUUAAGAAUUUUGUAAAAAAAAUGUAGACUAUUAAUAUAAAAAAAAGGUAUAAAACUAAUUUGUUCUUUUAUUCUUCUCUCAACAAUUUCAUGUUUCCAAAAGCACUUAAAUCCAUCAAAUACUCUUCAGAAAAUAUAACGAAAAGAGCAUCAAUGAUCUUGACAAACAAUUACAUAAGUUUUGAUACUAUUUUCCUGAAAUUCAAAAAUAAAAAGCAUUCAUAAACACCUACAUAAAUACAUAUCCGUCAAUUUAUAUGAUAUUUUUUAUUCUUAAAAUUCAAGCUAGGUGAAAUUUAAUAAAUAUUUUGUUUGUCUACUUUCCUGACACAUUUCUUAAGAAAUCAUAAAUAAAAAUUAGGGAAAAGGGUCUGAAAUAUAUUCGAACUUUGACCGAAAUUGCAGUAAUGAUACCAAACUUUGGAAAUGACCUUUUACUACACUAUUUAAUAGUGUAUUUUAAAGGUAUACAUAUGUUCACGUGGACAUCAUAGGUAUUGCAUAAUUAUAAAUACACUAUUAAAUAAUGCAGGGCUAUUAAAGGUCCUCCAUAAAGUUUGAUAUCGUAACAGUGAUUUCGGUCAAAGUUGGAGUAUUUUUCAGACUCUUUUCCCUAAAAACUAUAAUUUUGACUACAAAUUUUAUAUAUACUUUUUAAAAAAAUUAAUUAUUAGGAUUAAAAAAAUUACUUAUAUCUUAAUUUUAUAUACCUUCCUAUUUUAUCAUGCAUGAGGUACGCCAAGUCAUACUUGUAUGAGACAUCAUUUGAUUGACAAGUGGAUAUGGCUAGGACCCAUCCGCUAGCUAUCUUUAAGUUCCCCCACCUUUUUUUAUUUUUUUAUUUUUUUAUUUUUUUAUUUUUAUGUCUGCCACGUCAUAUAUAUGCCUCAUACAUAAUAAAAAAUUUCCACAUCAAAAGCUAUUACUAAAACUUUAUUUUUAGUAUCUCUUUUCAAUAAAUAUAUGUACUUUAAUUAUUUAUUUUUCUUAUUUGUUUUCUUUCUUCUCCAUAACAAUAUAAAUCAAAUCUCUCCAUCAUUCACCACCUCUAAAUCGGUGCUACCACCGCCAUUUUUACCGAAUUCAUUAUUGUUGCUUCCAAACAAAUUUUCGAACUCAUAUAGUACUCUUGCAAAAUCAAUCAACCCCAAUAAAUUAUAGAUAAAUUUACAUAUAUUUAUAUCAUUCCUAAAGAUUUUGGAUUAAAUUUGAGAAAAAUUGAUCUGAGUUUCUUUCAAGCGUCAAGGGUACUCUUUCACUAUUUCCACUUAACCUGGGUUUAUUUCAAGAGUCAAGGGUACUCUUCCACUAUUUCCAUCCCUAACCUACCACUGCCAUUAUCAUCGAAUUUUCUCCGACAAAUUAAAGCAAUCAUCAAAUAGGACUAUCAAAACAAAAGUGUUCAAAUUAAACAUGUUUUUCAAGUGUUUAUACUAUUUAAUUAUGAUUGAUUUAUCAAGUAAAACAAAAGUGAAAAAAUUGAAAGAAAAAUCAUUGAAGGAACAAAAUCUGCAACAAGUUGUGAAGUUAGGGAGAAAAGAUUUGAAUCCCCUAUUGAUAGAUUAGCUAGGUAAUGAGUUUAAAAAAAACCCCAGAUAAAGAUCUUAAAUAGAAAGAAUUAGAGGAGGAAAAAAAAUCAUGAGAAUGAUGGAGAUGAUGAAACUAAUGGGAUUGGAAAUCUUGAACAACUGAGAGAUAUUAUAAAUGAAGAUGAUAAAGAUAUGUUAGGGUGUUGAAUUAUUGCUGUUAAAUUAGGGAGGUGAUAAAGAUGGAGGUGGAGGUGGUGAUGAGGAUUUCUCAGAUGAUAAUGGUGAAAAAGAUGGAGGCCCAGCGAAUUAAGUUUGUGAGGAAGAUAAAAAAAAUAGAAGAAGACCCCCAAUGUAUUCCCUAAUAUUUUCCCAAAUCAAGCUUUCACAAAAAAUAAAUAAAUUAGGGCUACAAAAAGAUUGAAGAAGAAAGGAUGAAGAAGAAGGAGAGAAAACUUUUUUAAAAAAAAUUAAUUGGUGAAACACACGUGUCAAGUGCAUGUAAUCACCACAAGGCAGAUGGCCAGUUAUCACGUUUUAAGGGGUUAUUUAUUCCAUUUUAAAGUAGUUUGGGGGGUAAUGUAUAAGUAUGUAGUUGAAAAAUCUAAAUAUAGAUUGGGGGGAGGGGGGUAUUUGACCAUUUUUCUCCGAAUCACUUUCAAAGUCACAUAAUCUAUAACAAUCAAGUAUUCACAAUCACUCUCCAGAAACAACAACACCCACAUCAGUUUCUUUGAAAAAAUGAGUCAAUCAACUCAAAAUCCAAUUUCAAAAAUAGGGUUUGAAUCCGAAAAUCAACACUUGAAAAUGUUACUUAAGGCUUUAGGAACUCAUUCGUGAGAACCAGUUUGAAAAAGGAUUUAAAAUCACUUCAAAAUCCCCAUUUUAGAUUAAAACUCAAGUUCUUGCGAAAUCUUGCCAUUUUCCAAAUCAAAGUCCCAAAUUAUGAUGUUAGAAUCCAUAGAUAGUCAAAGGGAAAUGAGAUUUUAGGGUUACAAGAGCUUUCCAAUGAUUUAGCACAAAAAAAACUCUUCAAAAAUCGCCUCCAAGGAUUUCCCAAGCUCAAAAAUGAAAAAUGAAGCUUAAACAUCAAAAUUGUAGAUCAAACCCCCCCCCCUCUGAUGUUGCAAAAGCGAAGUCCCCUUAGCUUUCGCAACGCUCGCUUAAGCGAAGAGGCUCUCGCUUCUGCGAAGGUCGCUAAAGCGAUUGACCUUCGCAAAAGCGAGGCCUGCAGACACCACCAAACAUAUCCAAGUCUAAAAACAUUGACAAGACCCUUGGGAUUCGUUCGGAAUCCCGUAAUAUCAAUUAUACUCGACAUUCCGGACUCAAUGGAACCUUCAAAACACAACAAGAAACAACACAACGCCUAAAAUCAUCCUCCAAAUCCAACAGAACCUCCGGAAUUCCAAUCCAAGCAUCCGAACCUCGAAUGACAUCAAAAACCACUUUUUAAGCAACUUUGCCUUUCACACUCAAAACUUGCCAAAAUAUAAACUUUUUACUCAAGGCUUGAAACCAACUUUCAAAACUCAAUCAAGAAUAACUCUGGGUCAAAAGUCGGGAGGGACAAAACGGUAAAUUUCAUGAAAAUUCUAAAAAUGACCUAAUGGGUCAUUACAUUUUGAGUAUCCAAGUUGAUCAAAUUUAUGAACUCCGGGAGGUCAAAGCAUGGAGUGUCUUGUUUCAAGCUCCUAAAUUUGCCGUCUUUAAUUAAUCUAGAUACAAAUCUGUGACCAUGUUGACAAAAAGAGUGGUUAAAAAUUGACAAAACAACAACGAUAUUACGAUAAACAACUAUCUGAUAUACAGGAGAAUAUACUGUGAUCCUUCAACAAACAGUGUGUUAAUGAAUAUAAUGAAGUGGGAAAUGUUGUGGGCAAGAAAUUAGGAACUAGAAUACUAGAAAAUCAGCCAUUUCAGAAGAAGAAUACCAAAAAAUAUUUGUACCUUUCAAGACCUUCUUUAUUCCCCUGUGGAUUGACAUUCUUGUAGAAUGCAUCCGAUGUACACCAUCCAAACCACUCUAAAUGUGCUGCCACCUGAGAAGAAUAGCACAUCAGCCUUGCAAAAGAGCUGUUGGCCUGUCGCAACUGUAUCACAGAAAAUGCUCAUAUCAUAUAUAACUCCAGUAAGUACGUACAGGUUGGUACAGUUUAGUGUGUUCUCUCCACUGCAUUAGCGUAUGUAAAUGGAUAUAAUGAAGUGGGUUUCGACAAUGGAAUUUUGGGAAUUGCUGUAGGCAAAGACAUUAGGAACAGAGGAAGAAGAAUACUGGAGUACAAAAUAAGCCAUUUCAGAAGAAGAAAAACAGAAAACAAAAACUUUUUGAUAUUCAUACGACGGAAAGAUUACGAAAAUCGAGGCUAUAUUUAUAAGUCAUUACCGACGCAGUCCGACGUAAAGCCGUCGAUAAACUUAAAUAUAUAUUGGGAGCAAACCCUCAUUUCUCAACUCUCUCUUCCUUGCCUCACUCUUUUUCUCUACUCUUUCCUUGCCGAUUCACCUCUUACGACAGCAAAAGUAAGCCGUCCAGUCGCGCCACCGUUCACGGCGGCACCACCGUGCAGUUGAGAUAAGUGUAUUUUUUCCUUGUUCUACCGUUUUUCUUUCACUUUUAAGGUUUACUAUUUGUAUGAGAUUUUGAAUAGAUCAUAUCACCAUUUUCUUAAAAGGUCCGUGUAGAAUUUAGCUUGGAUUUAGUUUUCUUCUUCUUUCUGUGUUUUGCUCAUAUGAAAAUAUUAAUUUGAAUCCUUAGAGUCUCUGCUUUGACUAAUUAACUUCUGAACUUUGUUUAUUGAAGUAAGUAAUGAUUUUGAAACUUCCUUCAUUUCAUCUAACACAAAAGAUAGAACCAUCUAUGUAUACUUUUUCGGGUAAUUGGGCAGAAGAUGUUUGGAAGGGUAGCUGAGUGCAUGUUCAAAAUUCCCGGCUUAUUUCUAAUAAAAUGUAUCUAUGAAGAAUUUAUCCUUCAGUCAUUACUUGUAGACUAAAUCAACAAGAUUAUGAAGAUACAUCCAUGCCACACAAGAAUGGAGAUUCAGUCGAUGAACACAAAACAAGCAAGAAAUAAUUACUCGAUGAAAAUGAAACUAGCAAUAUAAAAAAUUUAAUGAUCAAAGAAAAGCAAGGGAGAAAUUAAUAUGUUAGUCUUUUUAAUGUUCUUUAGUUAUCAUAUAAUAGAUUGUAGAAGUAACAACUUUAUUAGUAUUCUUAAAUUAUUAUUAUUAUUAUUUUACCAUGCUUGUAUUAUACAGAUGGCAUCCCAGGAAAAUGAUCGUCCACAAAGUACUAAUACAGUGAAAGAUAAAUCUAAGGGAAAGAAAAAAGUUUCGGAGACUACAGGUUACACUACCUCUCCACUGGCAGGUCACUACUAC
rnacentral:lncRNA from 1 species